UGUUUAUUGUUGGUUCUUCAAAUCAAUCUAAGUUGUUUAUUGUUAAGUUUGCAUAGAUCUUUAAAAAUAAUCUCUAUUUAUGUCGUUUGGUAUUUGAUUUGCAGACUCCGUAAUGUCUGGCUCAUGUGAGUCCACUCCUUCUUGAUGAUUUCGUUGAAGAUGUAGAGGAUAAUUGCUUAAGCGACUCUCAAGAAGAUGAGCAAACUGAUCUUGAAGUUGAACUUUUGAGCAAGGAUUUUAAUUGUGCUUACAACCGUCUUAAAGAUAUUGAUCCAGUUGCACCCAACAGAAUUCAUCCAAAUAAUGGCAGAAAGAUCAACCAAUACCUGAGUCGGUAUGCACGAUUUGGUGUUAUUCCAAGCAAACUUCUUCAAGAGAGGACUGUAGAGGUGCGUGC